AACGAACGCUGGCGGCAUGCCUAACACAUGCAAGUCGAACGCCCUUUUCGGAGGGAGUGGCGCACGGGUGCGUAACGCGUGGGAACCUGCCCUUAGGUUCGGAAUAACUUCCCGAAAGGGAUGCUAAUACCGGAUAAUGUCUUCGGACCAAAGAUUUAUCGCCUUUGGAUGGGCCCGCGUAGGAUUAGGUAGUUGGUGAGGUAAAGGCUCACCAAGCCGACGAUCCUCAGCUGGUCUGAGAGGAUGAUCAGCCACACUGGGACUGAGACACGGCCCAGACUCCUACGGGAGGCAGCAGUGGGGAAUAUUGGACAAUGGGCGAAAGCCUGAUCCAGCAAUGCCGCGUGAGUGAUGAAGGCCUUAGGGUUGUAAAGCUCUUUUACCAGGGAUGAUAAUGACAGUACCUGGAGAAUAAGCUCCGGCUAACUCCGUGCCAGCCGCCGCGGUAACAC
rnacentral:rRNA from 1 species